GCUGAUGUGGCUCAGUUGGUAGAGCGCACCCUUGGUAAGGGUGAGGUCCUCAGUUCGCCUCUGGGGAUCCGCACCA
rnacentral:tRNA from 1 species